ACGCAUAUAUCUAGACGAGGCAUUCCGUCUACAAAAUGAAGCCGAAGUUGGCAGUUAAUCAGAAUGAAAAAGUUGAUUUGCUUCAUAUUGUACAAGAUAUACCUAGGGUGCAUUCAAGAAGACUAGAGAACAGGGGACCGAACUCCAGUGGUGGGGGUGAGUCAAAAUAUGGUCUCAUUACAUGGGCGCUGUUCGCGGUAUGGUUGCCGGCUAAUUCAUGAACUACGCAUGCUGGACUUCGAAAUUCGGAGGCGGAGCGUCGUCCAAUAUAACCUUAAAGUUCGAAUCUUUACAUUGUUGCGAACCGUUGUUUAAAAAAAAAGUGAAAUCAUGUCUAAAGUGUGUUGCAUUGUGAAUUGUGAGAGUAAAUGUCCCAAUUUGGGUCCGAAUAAAAGGAUGCUAUUCGAAUUUCCGAAGUAAGGGAAACGCUACUCGAAAAUAUUUACGUGUUUGCGAUAAACAUUUCAAGGACAGCGAUGUUGAGCGGACUUUCCGAACUGUCUUGAAGGCUGGAAUAAUAAACGAAAUACCACGUGAAAAAUUUAAAUUGAAUCAAGAUAGUAUACCAUGUAUUUUUGAUGUUCGUCAAGAUAAUUUUGGAGGAAAGUUUAUGAGUACAGGAGACAAAAGUUUAUGUGUUUCUACUCCGCUUGAGGGCGCACUACCUACCCAAGAGAACGAAGCAAUAGAAUACACCAUCGAGGCACUGAAAAGAAACUUCGAAGCUCCAGAGCAUUCCAGCGAGACAAUUGAAUAGGGAAUAGGGUUAUUACCUGAUGGCAUAAUUCUUUUUUACUAUGGUGAUUCUGGGAAAUAUACAACGAAAACGGUAAUAGUGAAAAAGGACAUGAGUGUAGAGGUCCGACUUGGGGAUGAAGUUGUCAAGUUAAAUAUAGUGGAUAAAGUUCAUUGUUUUCAAGAUCUUUUGGUUGUCAUGAGAACUCUCAGCAAAAGUUAUAUAUGCAGUGGAUCGAUCAUGACACUCCUUGUAUUUCUGGUUUUGUUAAAUUAACGUCAAACCUGAACAGUUGCGACUCAUGCCGAGUACGACGCAGGCCAAGGUCAUUAAUGUUUUUUUAAAUAGAAACUACGAUUUUUUAUUACAUAUUCUUGUAGCUUAUCUCGAGAGCAUUCCAAACACUCUAACAAAGUUACAUUUCAUCGAGUACUUUCCGAGUUAUGAGG
rnacentral:misc_RNA from 1 species